GGUCGAUUAGCUCAGUUGGUUAGAGCGUGGUGCUAAUAGUUCCUGCUAUGCGACGCCAAGGUCAUGGGUUCGACCCCCAUAUUGACCA